rnacentral:rRNA from 1 species
GACGUAGGGCGCGAGCGUUGUCCGGAUUUAUUGGGCGUAAAGAGCGUGUAGGCGGCCUGAAAGGUCAGCUGUGAAAACUCGAGGCUCAACCUCGAGACGUCGGUUGAAACCAUCUGGCUAGAGUCCGGAAGAGGAGAGUGGAAUUCCCGGUGUAGCGGUGAAAUGCGCAGAUAUCGGGAAGAACACCCGUGGCGAAGGCGGCUCUCUGGGACGGUACUGACGCUGAGACGCGAAAGCGUGGGGAGCGAACAGG